UCGCUUUGACGCAACCUGCAAUGUUAAAGGCGGUUGUAGUUCACGAUUUGUAGCAAGCAGAAGAAGUCGAAGCUCUCCCUCUUGAAUCUAGCUCCUCUAAUCCAAAACUGAUUCGUAUCCUGUAGCGUUUUUCUUUUCAUUUUCUCUUCGGAAGAAUCAAAUCGUCUUCGGAAAUUAAUUAUUUGUUUCCCCAAAUUGGAUUUCACUGUCUGCUUACUGAGUUUGAAGUUAUGCUCUAGAUUUCUGAUUAAGACACUUUUUAAGUAACAUUCUUGUAAAUUUCGAAUUGCAGAUUGGAACGACUAUGUUUUACUCGGUGAAAUUUGAGUGUUCUGCUUCCAAUUCUAUUGGAGUGAAAUUGGCAUUUGGUAAUAUGGUUCGAGGGUCUGGCCCAGACCAUCAGGGACUCGAUCACCUAGCAGGAAGAGGAUUGUGGUUUCAACCAAUGUGGAAGCUUCUCCACUCAAUUCGAGUUCAGCGACACCAUUGAAGAGAAUCCGUAGCAGGACAUUCACUCUGAACUCUGAAAGGUCUCAUCUCGAAGCCCUGCCUCAGGACAUUCUUAUCAUGAAGAUUUGAAACAGCUUUGUCUUGUAUCGAAGACGAUAAAAGAAGCAGCUCUUAUGACGAAGCCAUGGCAUUUCGAAUAUAUUACUCCGAAGAAAACUUUCAUCUCUGAAGAAAUUGAAGCUUGGAAUGCUCCACGGAGGAAAUCCAAAUCAAGGCUAAGUGGGAUGCAAGUUAUCUGACAUCUCAGUUGCCAUAUUUGCUUAGAGCACUGAAUUCAGAUUCUGUGUAAUGUAAGUAAAUCGAUGGGUAGAAUAUGCUGGCUGUAGAUUAAAUAGGAGUACUUGGAGGGGAGAAGAUCUUUAAU